rnacentral:rRNA from 1 species
CCGCGGUAUCCUAACCGUGCGAAGGUAGCGCAAUCAAUUGCCUGAUAAAUGAGGGCCUGUAUGAAUGGUAUGACGAGGGUUUAACUGUCUCUUUUUUCCAGUCAGUGAAACUGAUCUGUCCGUGCAGAAGCGGACAUUUUUAUACAAGACGAGAAGACCCUAUGGAGCUUUAGGCACUAACCAACUAUCGGAAGCAAUUUUACAAGUAAAUUCCACUUUAGAUUUUCUGGUAAUGUAGUCUUAGGUUGGGGCGACCACGGGAGAAAAAGAAGCUCCCAAGUAGACAGGGAAUAACCCUGAAACCAAGAGCUACGGCUCUAAGUCGCAAAAUAUUUGACUAAUAUGAUCCGGCCGAUGGCCGAUUAACGAACCAAGUUACCCUAGGGAUAACAGCGCAAUCCUCUCCCAGAGUCCUCAUCGACGAGAGGGUUUACGACCUCGAUGUUGGAUCAGGACAUCCUAAUGGUGCAGCCGCUAUUAAGGGUUCGUUUGUUCAACGAUUAAAGUCCUACAUGAUCUGGUCCCAAAACCGGAG